UGGCGUUCCGUACAGGAUUCGAACCUGUAACCCACAGCUUAGAAGGCUGUAGCUCUAUCCUAUUGAGCUAACGGAAC
rnacentral:tRNA from 1 species